rnacentral:rRNA from 1 species
UACGGGGGGAGCAAGCGUUGUUCGGAUUUACUGGGCGUAAAGGGCGCGUAGGCGGUCAGCACAAGUCAGUUGUGAAAUCUCCGGGCUUAACCCGGAAAGGUCAACUGAUACUGUGCGACUAGAGUGCGGAAGGGGCAACCGGAAUUCUCGGUGUAGCGGUGAAAUGCGUAGAUAUCGAGAGGAACACCUGCGGCGAAGGCGGGUUGCUGGGCCGACACUGACGCUGAUGCGCGAAAGCCAGGGGAGCGAACGGG